GAACUUCCAAAGUCAUAAAACCUCAUUCCCUGGCCAUGUUAAUACCAUGAAGAAUGGCCCACAACUCCGAUUAAGCAACUGAACACAUUUUCAAUCUACAGGCAAAAGCUCCUUGAAGCUUCCCCGUAUAAUCUCUUAUAGCCCCUCUGUUACGAAUCCAGAAUCAGAGAACACAUCAACAAAAGCAGAGCAUGAGGGUAACAUAGCG
rnacentral:lncRNA from 1 species